UCCCUCUUAGCUCAGUGGUAGAGCGCGUCACUCGUAAUGAUGAGGUCAGUCGUUCAAAUCGGCUAGGGGGAA